UAAAUAAAAUGAAUCAUAUACGGAUUCAUUGAAUAAAAUUCUCACACUCCACAAAGCCACUAGUGUACAAGUCUCGAGUCUUCAAAACCAGGGUUCUGUCUUCUUCUCCCCUAAAUCUAGGGUUUUUAAACAACUAUUUUUUUCAGAGUCGAUUGACAUACCUCGAAAACCAGCUAGCAAUCCCGAACAAUUCACCUAGAUUUACGAUUCGUCCGCCAAAAUACACUCCAAAUUCUAUACAUAUAUCGGUUUUUAUCUCUAUAGUUCUCUGAAAUUUGUUCGCAUUUGCGCCAUAGCAAAAACUCAACAUCUGUGUCAAUGGCCAAGACGAGACCAGGAAAAAGAGACAUGGACUCUUACACCAUCAGAGGCACCAACAAAGUCGUCAGAGCUGGGGAUUGUGUGUUGAUGCGACCAUCGGACACCAAUACGGCACCUUAUGUGGCGCUUGUGGAGAGGAUUGAAGCAGAUAUUCGGAACAACGUGAAGGUCAGGGUGAGGUGGUACUAUCGGCCGGAGGAGUCUAUGGGAGGGCGGAGACAGUUCCAUGGAGCAAAAGAGUUGUUCUUGUCGGACCACCAUGAUGUUCAGAGUGCUCACACUAUUGAAGGCAAGUGCACUGUUCACACUUUCAAGAACUAUACUAAGCUUGAAAAUGUUGGUGCUGAAGAUUACUAUUGUCGUUUUGAGUAUAAAGCUGCUACAGGAGCAUUCACACCAGACCGUGUUGCAGUGUAUUGCAAAUGUGAAAUGCCUUAUAAUCCGGAUGAUUUGAUGGUACAAUGUGAGGGAUGCAAGGACUGGUAUCAUCCUGCUUGUGUGGACAUGACUAUUGAACACGCAAAAAAGUUGGAACGCUUUAUGUGUGCAGACUGUGAAUAUGAUGAUACCAAAAAAUCCCAGGACACCUUUCCUGCAUCAGCAAUGGCUAAUGGGAAGAAGGAGUUUGCUACCCUGGAAGAAUACACAUGAGCCACUAUCAAGAUAAUCGGUGCUUAAGAUAUCCGUCAGAAGGUCAAAACUUGUUGAUGGAGCCCAAGCGGCAGAAGAGGUGAAUUCAUCUGGAGGCUCGCGCUGCAUGAAGUGACAUGACCAUUAAACUCAGUGUUGAUCUUUUGGGUGCUGUACAGUGCAGAAUAUUGUAAUGGUUAUCCGAUCAGACUAAAGGCUGUUGGUAAUUUGCAUCUUGUCUUGAUCUAAAUUCGUGUUUUAUGUAUUUAGAAGAUGACUUUGGUACAUGUUCUGUGCAGUUGGACGAUUCAGUAAUUAAAUCUCUAAUUUAGGAAAAAUGUUGGUUCUGAA